CCUACGGGUGGCUGCAGUGGGGAAUAUUGCACAAUGGGGGAAACCCUGAUGCAGCGACGCCGCGUGAGUGAAGACGUAUUUCGGUAUGUAAAGCUCUAUCAGCAGGGAAGAAAUAGCGACCUUUGGGUCGCCAGACGGUACCUGAUUAAGAAGCCCCGGCGAAAUACGGGCCAGCAGCCGCGGUAAUACGUAGGGGGCAAGCGUUAUCCGGAUUUACUGGGUGUAAAGGGAGCGUAGACGGCAGCGCAAGUCUGAAGUGAAAAGCCGGGGCUUAACCCCGGAACUGCUUUGGAAACUGUGCGGCUAGAGUGCAGGAGAGGUAAGUGGAAUUCCUAGUGUAGCGGUGAAAUGCGUAGAUAUUAGGAGGAACACCAGUGGCGAAGGCGGCUUACUGGACUGUAACUGACGUUGAGGCUCGAAAGCGUGGGGAGCAAACAGGAUUAGAUACCCGAGUAGUC
rnacentral:rRNA from 1 species